rnacentral:rRNA from 1 species
GGUACGGGGAUUAGGGUUCGAUUCCGGAGAGGGAGCCUGAGAAACGGCUACCACAUCCAAGGAAGGCAGCAGGCGCGCAAAUUACCCAAUCCCAACACGGGGAGGUAGUGACAAUAAAUAACAAUAUGGGGCCCUUACGGGUCUCGUAAUUGGAAUGAGUACAAUUUAAAUCUCUUAACGAGGAACAAUUGGAGGGCAAGUCUGGUGCCAGCAGCCGCGGUAAUUCCAGCUCCAAUAGCGUAUAUUAAAGUUGUUGCAGUUAAAAAGCUCGUAGUUGAAUUUCGGGGUCUGUCCGUCGGUCGGGCUUCACGGUCCGUACUGGUGUGAUGGGUUCCUACCUUCUGAAUAACCGGCAUGCCAUUCAGUUGGUGCGCCGGGGAAGCAGAGCUAUUACCUUGAAAAAAUUAGAGUGCUUAAAGCAGGCUAGUGCUUGAAUAGAUUAGCAUGGAAUAAUAAAAUAGGACGGCAUGGUUCUAUUUUGUUGGUUUCUAGGAUCACCGUAAUGAUUAAUAGGGAUAGUUGGGGGCAUUAGUAUUCAAUUGUCAGAGGUGAAAUUCUUGGAUUUAUUGAAGACUAACUUCUGCGAAAGCAUUUGCCAAGGAUGUUUUCAUUAAUCAAGAACGAAAGUUAGGGGAUCGAAGACGAUCAGAUACCGUCGUAGUCUUAACCAUAAACUAUGCCGACUAGGGAUCGGACGAUGUUAAUUUUUUAAUGACUCGUUCGGCGCCUUACGGGAAACCAAAUNUUUGGGGUUUC